GUACUAUUACAAAAGAAAGGUGGAUCUCUGUACAAUCAAAUUUCGAAGAGAGAUUUGAUCUUGCUGGAAUGGAACUUAAUGGUUCGCUUCAUGAAUAUAAUGGAUUUGACUCUUUGAAAUAUACUCUUGGUGGCUUUGAGGAAUGUAAAAUGGUUCCAUAUAUGGAACUCUUUGAUCCAUGUCUUGAGGCAAGGAUGGAACUAAUGAGUUG